UGUAAUAUCUUGUAACAAUUGUAAGUUGCCCUGGAUAAGGGUGUCUACUAAGAAAUUAAUAAUAAUAAUAAUAUCCAAAUACAUGCCAGACAUUGGAAAACUCAGCAAGGAAAAGCAUGGGUAAGGAUCACACUAAACUGGUAAGUCUGCCUUUUAAUUUAAUUUUAAACCCUUUAUUUACUUUGCAUGUCAUUUUACGUGUACAUAUUUUUGUAAAAUAACAAUAUGUAGUUUUUUUUUUUUUUAAUAUAUACCUUUUGAAUGUUAAAAUGUAUUACUGGCAUGCAAAACCUUAAAUUAGAGUAAAUAAAAUAAGCGCCACUUUUGAAAGGUUGCCGACGCCUGAACUAGAGAUUCAACACCAACUAGAGAUUCAACACCAACUAGAGAUUCAACACCAACUAGAGAUUCAACACCUGCAGCUGUGGGACUGAUCAGUCCACAACAAGGCUGACAUCUCUGGUAGAUUUUCAGAGUGUGCCUGACGCAGACAGUGGGAUAGAAUGUAAUGGACCAUGCUGUGUCAUCAUCGCUGACUCCGGUAAGGCAAUUCAAUUGACAGUCCCUAAGAAAGACACUGCGAGAGUAUAUGGAAAAUGUCAAAAGGCUUGAGAAAGAUAUGUUAUCUAUGAGUGGUACAAAAACAGAGAGUGGAUUGUUUUAUGCAAAAUUCGAAAGAGAGCUUUUUGUGCAGUUUGUUGUUUUGCAGUAGCAAAAGCGCUUGUGACAUUCUCAAUGUGGAGAUGAUGCAUUUGUGAAAGUUGGGAUAAAUGACUGGAAAAAAUGUCCUGCAAAUUUGGAUUUGCAUGAAAAUUUGCAUUUUCACAGGGAGUGUUUGCUUAAACACAAUGCUUACUUGAAAUGAGUACCUGUGCAUUCACAGCUUGCUCAUCAAAAGGUGGCUGAUCAAGAAAAGGACCACUGAUGCCUGUUAGAACAACUGUGCUGUUUGUAAUUUUUUGUAAGGCAAGGUCUUGCUGUUAGAGAUCACACUGAUGAAGAAAGUAACUUCUGAAAGUUAGUCAAGCUAGUGUCACAUGAUUUCUAUUACAUGAGAUUAGGUGUUAAAACUUCAUGCUGAUAUUGGACUCAGCUCUCGCCAAGAUAAGCACCAACUAAGACAUAGCUUCUUUUAAACUAAUGUGAUCCAUCUGCAUUUCCUUCCACCUGAUGACGUAGCUAUCCUUCUGCCUGAAGUGUAAUGCUGGCUCCAGGAAUCAGCCUAUUUUGCCUCCCUGCCGCAUCAGCACACACAACGGCUGCAAUGCUGGCUCCAGGGAUCAACCACAGUGCGGCCUCCCUAGCGCAUCAGCAUGACAACCGUCUGGACUGAGCUGAGUAGGGUACUUCUCUGGGGUCUUCAAGUAGGAACCUUCCAUCCUUGGUGUUUCAUCGACUAGCCCAUGACACCUUAAGAGGGCUCAACAGUGAUUCUGGUAUCCCAGCAUCACCCCCCUCUGUCCCCCACUCUGCUAAGCCAGCUUACUUACCUUCCUUUACAUCAAUGUUUUUCUAUUUCUACUGUGCUUGAGGUCCCCAACCAGAAUCCGAUGUCUCUGAGAAACCGGGUUGUGGAGUGUGCCACAAAUCCUCGACAACCCAUCUCCACUGGGUAAACCUGGACUCCAUCCUCACUGUUCCGCUUCAGCAGCUAGUUGAGCAUACCGAAGUUUCUUCCUUUCGUACGCCUCAUCCACAUCAUCCUCCCAUGGCACUGUUAACUCUACUAGGUGAACAAGGCGUGCCGAUCCAGACCUCAAGACAGUAUCAGGUCGAAGACACUUUUAGAACGGCUCCAGCGCCCCUGGCUCACACUUUGUGGAAACUCCGAGACAGAUGGACCAGCACCAUUUUAUAAUCUCUCUUUGCUCUGUGACUGUCUCCAAGCUCACAAUUGCCAACUCUGACAUCUGCCACAGUCUGAGAGCCACCGUGGAUAAGACUGUCCAAAUGGUCCUGAAGCUUCCUUCUCUCAAAUGAAGUCCCGCCCCACACCCAGUCAAGCGAAUGAGAGUAUCUAGGGGGAUAUAAAAGGACAGGAAGGAGGAGGGGAGCGGUGUAGGGAAGCAGACUGGUUGUGGCUGCUGAAGGAAAACUGGUUGCUGGAAUCGUUAUAUGGACAGAAGAGAAGGUAGAAGGAAGAGAGUCUUGGCUACCCUGAAAGAAGGGUUCUGGCUGAAGGGAAAUUGAUGGAUUUGGAUUCCUUUGUUUUGCUGUUUGGGGAUUUUUGUUGUUUCGGGACUGUGCUACAAUUUUUCUGUUUAUUUUUUGAAUUUUCUUUUUCUUUGUAUGUACUGCACCAACUUUUUGUGACUGCUUUUCAUAUCCCGUCACAUUGGGCUGUUUUUUUGAAAGCUAUCAGACACUGCGAAACUCAUUGGGAUUGUAGAAAGGUUUUUUGGAGCUGUAUACAUAUUUUUAUUUUUUUUGUGCUUGCGUUUGGCCGGGCUACAUUGCAGGGGCUGUCCAGGUUUGAGCAGACGGUGCCAGGAGUCCUGUGACCGGUGAAGAGAGAGAAGGGAAGUGACGUUCAUUAUUAUUUGCUUAUUAUUUGGAGACUUUGAUAUAUUACAAACUGUAUAUCCAUAACUUAUAUUUACCCACCCUGAGUCGGCUCUGUGUUCUAUCAGGGUACGCCUGAAACCCACCAGGGUGAUACUUACUGGUUCCAAAUCAGAGAUCAAGGUCCAGGGGUCCAUUCCAGGGUGAUUCUUACCUGUCCACGGUUGGGGGUCGAAGCCCAGUGGUCCAGUCCAGGGUGCAACAGUCGGGUUCCAGAACCGGAGAGAGAGGGAGAUACGCGAGAAUCAGAGAUAAGCUAAGGGGAAGUAACCAGCUGGAACACAGGAGUGUAUGAGAAGGCUUUACUUACCGUUGUGCACGUUUCUGACGCUCCUUCUUUGCCCCCCCUUCCCCCUGUCGGGUUUCCAGGAUCUCCAUCUUUAUCUUCUUCAGUGGAUCUGCGUAUCGUUGCAGUGAGGUCCAUUGGCGGUUCGAUACGUGGGACAGUGGACGUCGGGACGAGUGGGCAGCUGAGCGGUUUGGGAACCAACUUUAAUCCGAUUUCCAAUACUUUUACUGGACUUUUUGUGUGGCAGCUAAGCAUGAACAUUAUUUUAUAUAUAUUUUUUAGAGACUUUUACCAACAGGAGGGGAUUACCUCAGUUUGUAUUCUUUUAGGUUCUCUCUCAUUUUUAACAUUUGUGUGUGGUUUUUAAAGAGCAUUUUUUAUCUUGUUGAGAAACAAUAAAAUUUGUUUUAACCUA